GGCGUGGUAGCUCAGUUGGUUAGAGCGCACGACUCAUAAUCGUGAGGUCGAGAGUUCAAAUCUCUCCCACGCCACCA
rnacentral:tRNA from 1 species